CUUCUCUUCUUGUUCUUGGUGUUGGUGUUGUUCGUUCUUCAACAGUUUGUUUGUUUUCUUUCUCUCUUUGUGUUCUAAUCUGCGCUUUUUCUCUUCUAACUAAUCAGGUAAGUUGUUAUUCUUGGAUCUCUAUAUACCUUACUUUUUUCUUGAAAGAUUUGUGUUUGUAGAUCUACAGUAGUUGAUUCUUUAUUACACAUAGAUAUGCAGAACACAUAGAUAUAGUUCAAAGUAAUUUCUAUUGAAAAGUAAUGUUUGAGAUGAAAUUAGGUUUUCACGGAACUUCACAUUUACAAUAGUGAUUCAGAAUAUAACUUGUUUAUUUAUCGGAGAAAUAAAGAUUAAAAAUAUAUCAGUAUCGCAAAGCUUAGUGGACUAACUACAUAAUUUUCAUUUGUAAAAUAAUUCUUUACUCCAUAUUUAUACAAUGUAUCUAGCAGACUAACACUCUGCUUUGUGACUUGUUAAUUAUGUCAUCUUUUUAUAAGCGGUUUUGUUAACUUGGAGGGAAUUCAGAUUCCCGGAAAGUAGGGCCAAAACCAGCUAUUUUUGGAUGGAAGAUCAGAAUUUAGAUUCCGGUGAAGGCUAAAAUAAAGGAAUAUAGUUUCUUUUUUAUAAAAUGGAAACCAGUUUCUAUCUUUGUCCGGACAAAUAUGUCAAGUGUUUUGAUCUCUUUAGAAUUCCUUCCAUCUUAAACUCUAUAUCUCCCCUUUUGAUUGCCUUCUCUUUCUUAUACAGUUAUCUCUUCCAUUAAUACCCUCUUUUCCCGGAAUCUGAAUUAUCAGUCUGUGAAACAAAAUUAAUCACUCAUUCACUCAAUAAAUCUUUUCAAAUGGGGUCUGUAGAAAAGACUCGAUCAAUCUUUCAAAUGGGGUCUGUAGAAAAGACUGCAAAGGAAACAACAAAUACAACAGCAUAUCAUGAUUGGUCGACUCCUAUGCAGG
rnacentral:lncRNA from 1 species